CGAACGGGUGAGUAACGCGUGAGGAACCUGCCUCAAAGAGGGGGACAACAGUUGGAAACGACUGCUAACACCGCAUAAGCCCACGGCUCGGCAUCGAGCAGAGGGAAAAGGAGCAAUCCGCUUUGAGAUGGCCUCGCGUCCGAUUAGCUAGUUGGUGAGGUAACGGCCCACCAAGGCGACGAUCGGUAGCCGGACUGGGAGGUUGAACGGCCACAUUGGGACUGAGACACGGCCCAG
rnacentral:rRNA from 1 species